CAGAUAUCUACAGUAAUCUACAGAUUUGAUGAAAGGGACAGAAAACUGUUUCAGCACACCUCACAUCAGCAUGGAAGGCAGAGUCUGAGAUUGAUCCCACACAGUGAAAAUAAUCAACGAGACGGAAAAGUCACAGUAAUUUAAAAUCAUGGAAUGAGAAAGUUCCUAGCUGCUCUUCUGGUAAAGGCAACUUGUUGACACGGCAAAGUGAAAUGACAGUAGACCAUCUUUGGCAAAUUCUAUACAGGGCUUGUAAUUAGAAGAAAACUUCUGAACUCAAGAUUGCUUCAAACCUCUCAAGCAUUUUAUG
rnacentral:lncRNA from 1 species